rnacentral:rRNA from 1 species
GAUUUCUGGACAUCCGUUUCUGGCCGGCCACGGUUUCGUGUGUUAGUGCUUGAAGCUUUGUCCAUCCUUCCAAUCGCUCGCGGCUAUUCUUCAUUGAUGGGUCGCGGGUAUUGGAUCGUUUACUUUGAAAAAAUUAGAGUGUUUCAAGCAGGCUUGAUGCUAUGAAUACAUUAGCAUGGAAUAAUAAUUUAGGACUUCGGUUCUAUUUUGUUGGUUUCUAGGACUGAAGUAAUGAUUGAUAGGGAUAGUUGGGGGUGCUAGUAUUCAGCGGCCAGAGGUGAAAUUCUCGGAUUCGCUGAAGACUAACUUAUGCGAAAGCAUU